GACGAACGCUGGCGGCGUGCUUAACACAUGCAAGUCGAACGGAAAGGCCCUGCUUUUGUGGGGUGCUCGAGUGGCGAACGGGUGAGUAACCCGUGAGUUACCUGCCCUUGACUUUGGGAUAACUUCAGGAAACUGGGGCUAAUACCGGAUAGGAGCUCCUGCUGCUUGGUGGGGGUUGGAAAGUUUAGGUGGUUGGGGAUGGACUCGCGGCGUAUCAGCUUGUUGGUGUGGUAGUGGCUUACCAAGGCCUUGACGGGUAGCCGGGCUGAGAGGGGGAGCGGAUAAGCUGGGACGGAGAUACGACACAGACUAGUACGGGACGCAAGGGAGGAGAAUAGUGUACUAUGGGCGGAAGGCUAGUGCAGCAACGCCGCGUGGGGGGUGAGGGCAUGCGGGUUGGAUUGCACAGUCGCCUGAGACGAAGCGUGAGUGACGGUAAUGGGUGAAGAAGCACCGGCUAACUACGUG
rnacentral:rRNA from 1 species